rnacentral:tRNA from 1 species
CAGGACGUGGCCGAGUCAGUCAAGCAUCUCACUUACACCCGAGAAGACAUCCAUGCAAGUUGGAUCGUCCUGA